UUGAGCAUAUCAUGGAAGAGUAGCAGGAACACCAGGCUAAAUCAAAAGCAUAACCAUAGAACCAAAGUGUGUCAGCAAUAUUGGCAAGUCAGAAGUCAAUUUUAGUCCAUUGUAGCGUCCACCCCUGUAAACAAUUUGCAUGACGCUGGACAAGUGAAGGAGAUCCUCAUUUCAAACAAGAGCAUUAGUUGGCACAUUUCUCCACCUCAGUUACCUUUUCUUCUAAAGGGAGGCACAGUAACAGGGGAACGACGAUUAAGGAGUUGGGCAAACCAAAUUAUGAUCUCCCUAGUUGAGUGGUCGGGUGGUCUGUUCAAGGCUUGACGCUUCUGGUGAGGCGCCGGGGCCGGACGCUUCUGCUGAGGCGCUAUUGCUGAGGCGCCGGGGCCGGAUGCUAUUGCUGAGGCGCCGGGGCCGGACGCUUCUGCUGAGGCGCCGGGGCCGGACGCUUCUGCUGAGGCGCCGGACGCUUCUCCUGAGGCUUCUGCUGAGGCGCCGGACGCUUCUGCUGAGGCGCCGGACGCUUCUGCUGAGGCUCCGGACGCUUCUGCUGAGGCGCCGGACGCUUCUGCUGAGGCGCCGGGGCCGGACUUCACACUUGACGGGGCAUUGUGGCCAGUAGAUUCUGCUGACGUGGCAUUGUGGCCAGUAGCUUCUGCUGACGUGGCAUUGUGGCCAGUAGCUUCUGCUGACGUGGCAUUGUGGCCAGUAGCUUCUGCUGACGUGGCAUUGUGGCCAGUAGCUUCUGCUGACGUGGCAUUGUGGCCAGUAGCUUCUGCUGACGUGGCAUUGUGGCCAGUAGCUUCUGCUGACGUGGCAUUGUGGCCAGUAGCUUUAGCAUUUGGACUAGGCACCACACUUGCUUUGGCAUAGGAUCCAGUUGGUUCAGGUCCAGUGUAGGCAUGAUGCCCAUUAGAAUUACCU
rnacentral:lncRNA from 1 species